rnacentral:misc_RNA from 1 species
AUGGCGCGCAUCCGCAGCGAUGCACGCCUCAAGGCCGAUGCAGAUCGCAUCGCGACCUUCGCGGUCACGCUCAGGUUCGACGAUGAAACUGCGUUGCGGGAUUUCGUGACGGCGCGGCUGGCAAAAGCGCGCGCGAUAAAUCUUUAGGCCUUCUUCAACUGCGCGGGAUAGUACCGCUGCAACACGGCUUCCGGCGUCGCAUAGGCUUCCUNNNNNNNNNNUUCAGCUCGUCCAGCGGAAUGUGUUCGCCGGUGAUGGCGCAGCGGACGUAGGAGCCGGGAG